CGGGACGGGUGAGUAACGCGUGGAUAACCUGCCUCACACAGGGGGAUAACGGUUAGAAAUGACUGCUAAUACCGCAUAAGCGCACAGUCUCGCAUGGGACAGUGUGAAAAACUGAGGUGGUGUGAGAUGGAUCCGCGUCUGAUUAGGCAGUUGGCGGGGUAACGGCCCACCAAACCGACGAUCAGUAGCCGGCCUGAGAGGGUGAACGGCCACAUUGGGACUGAGACACGGCCCAAACUCCUACGGGAGGCAGCAG
rnacentral:rRNA from 1 species